GAACGAACGCUGGCGGCAGGCCUAACACAUGCAAGUCGAGCGCGCCCUUCGGGGUGAGCGGCGGACGGGUUAGUAACGCGUGGGAACGUACCCUUUGGUAGGGAAUAGCCACUGGAAACGGUGAGUAAUACCCUAUGAGCCCUUCGGGGGAAAGAUUUAUCGCCAAAGGAUCGGCCCGCGUUAGAUUAGGUAGUUGGUGGGGUAAUGGCCUACCAAGCCUACGAUCUAUAGCUGGUUUUAGAGGAUGAUCAGCAACACUGGGACUGAGACACGGCCCAGACUCCUACGGGAGGCAGCAGUGGGGAAUCUUGGACAAUGGGGGCAACCCUGAUCCAGCCAUGCCGCGUGAGUGAAGAAGGCCUUAGGGUCGUAAAGCUCUUUCGCCUGUGAAGAUAAUGACGGUAGCAGGUAAAGAAACCCCGGCUAACUCCGUGCCAGCCGCGGC
rnacentral:rRNA from 1 species